AACGAACGCUGGCGGCAGGCCUAACACAUGCAAGUCGAGCGAACCCUUCGGGGUUAGCGGCGGACGGGUUAGUAACGCGUGGGAAUAUACCCUUUGGUACGGAAUAGCCUCGGGAAACUGAGAGUAAUACCGUAUGUGCCCUUCGGGGGAAGAUUUAUCGCCAAAGGAUUAGCCCGCGUUGGAUUAGAUAGUUGGUGGGGUAAUGGCCUACCAAGUCUACGAUCCAUAGCUGGUUUGAGAGGAUGAUCAGCAACACUGGGACUGAGACACGGCCCAGACUCCUACGGGAGGCAGCAGCGGGGAAUCUUAGACAAUGGGCGCAAGCCUGAUCUAGCCAUGCCGCGUGGACGAUGAAGGCCUUAGGGUUGUAAAGUCCUUUCUAGAUGGGAAGGAUAAUGACGGUACCAUCAGAAGAAGCCCCGGCUAACUCCGUG
rnacentral:rRNA from 1 species